CCCGGGCCUUGUACACACCGCCCGUCACACCACGAAAGUUCAUGGGACCAGAAGUCAUCGGGUCUACCGAUGCCGAAGGUCUGAUGAAUGAUUGGGGGUGAAGUCGUAACAAAGGUACC
rnacentral:rRNA from 1 species